UACGUAGGAGGCGAACGUUAUUCGGAUUUACUGGGCGUAAAGGGAGCGUAGGCGGUUCCUUAAGUCAGAUGUGAAAUCUUCUGACUCAAUCAGAAAACGGCAUUUGAUACUGAGGGACUUGAGAGCAGCAGAGGGAAAUGGAAUCUCCAGUGUAGCGGUGAAAUGCGUAGAUAUUGGAGAGAACACCAGUGGCGAAGGCGAUUUCCCAGGCUGUUUCUGACGCUGAGGUUCGAAAGCGUGGGGAGCGAAGCGGAUUAGAUACCCCCGUA
rnacentral:rRNA from 1 species